GUCUCUACAAAGUAAUAAUAAUAUUAAUCUAAAGAUAAGAAACGAUUAAAGAAAUUGAUCUAAGAAUCAAAAAAUCGAAAGCACCAGAUCUCUAUACUUUCAAUAGCAUAGUAGCUCUACUAUAUAUAUAUAUUCGAGCUUUUCGAGCUUUUCGAGCCUAAUUCGAACGAGCCGAGUAAUACUCAAGCUCGACUUGAAAUGAAUUUCGAGCCUUUUUUUUUGUUCAAGCUCGGCUCAUUUAAUUUCGAGUCGAGCUCGAGCGAGCCAAAUAUCGAGUCGAACGCG
rnacentral:lncRNA from 1 species